rnacentral:pre_miRNA from 1 species
UGGUCCUCUGUGGGCAUCUUACUAGACAGUGCUGGAUAUUUUGGAUCUACUCUAACACUGUCUGGUAACGAUGUUUAAAGGGUGAACCAAA